rnacentral:rRNA from 1 species
GACGAACGCUGGCGGCGUGCUUAACACAUGCAAGUCGAGCGGUAAGGCCCUUUCGGGGGUACACGAGCGGCGAACGGGUGAGUAACACGUGGGUGACCCGCCCUCAGCUCUGGGAUAAGCCUGGGAAACUGGGUCUAAUACUGGAUAUGACUCCACGGUGCGUGUCGUGGGGUGGAAAGCCUUGUGCGGCUGAGGAUGGGCCCGCGGCCUAUCAGCUUGUUGGUGGGGUGAUGGCCACCAAGGCGACGACGGGUAGCCGGCCUGAGAGGGCGACCGGCCACACUGGGACUGAGACACGGCCCAGACUCCUACGGGAGGCAGCAGUGGGGAAUCUUGCGCAAUGGGCGAAAGCCUGACGCAGCGACGCCGCGUGAGGGAUGACGGCCU